UUCUUGGUCAAAGAGAAUAAUCACAGGGAAGUAACAGCUGGGUGCUAUUUUUAUAUCAUCUUUGUGAUUGAAGAAAGCCCACUUCACAGAUCACCAAGAUUACCAUUACCACUGUUACCAACCUGGGUUCCUGGACUCCUUUUAAUCAGCAGCAAUUGAGAAAAGGCCAGUGAGAAAUUCAGGCAAGGCUUUAUUGAAGUUAGCGCUGCAACAUGGGGGAGUGAAAACAAGUAACAGGUGCCCUUGUUUGUUCCCUGAGGUGGGGGAGAAGGGGUAGGUGAGCUGGUUGCUUAAUUGGGGCGAGGGGCAGGGGCAGAUCAGUGGAUAAGGUGGUCUGCCCACCCCCUUGGUGGUGCUGUAGAAAUCAUGUGCCAUUCCUUGAUUUUGCUCCAGGCACUCAGAAGGGGCAGUUAGGUUUUGGCCUUUCUGUAUGGUGUUGUUCAUAAUUAGCCCCCAUUGUGCAUGUGUGCAAUUAUGUGCCGUCCCUUAGGGUUUUUUGGUAUCCUGUUGCUCGAGGAGUUGGUUGUCCAGGUGCAAGCACUGCAGCAGAAGGUCCCCAGGUCUCAGGGCCCAGGCUACAUCACUACAACCACAUAAAGUUCACGAGGAGCCCCAGCAACUUGUCAGACCCCUGGGGAAGCCCAAGCAUAUGGCCUCUCCCAGCCUCGGGGAAAAAAGCAUCCAACGUCAGGAGAGUCAUGUGGCAGCCUUUGCAACGAUGUUGCUGCUGCUGCUGCUGCUAAGUCGCUUCAGUGUGUCCGACUCUGUGCGACCCCACAGACGGCAGCCCACCAGGCUCUGCCGUCCCUGGGAUUCUCCAGGCAAGAACACUGGAGUGGGUUGCCGUUUCCUUCUCCGUUGCAAAGAUGUUAGAACACCUGUAAUUAAAAGCAAACCCUGAUUUGUCUGUGUGAGGGCAACUUGACUUAGUUUCUUCCUCAAAUUCGAGGCAAAUUGACUUUCCUCCGGUGGGCCAGAAGGAGAAGCACCUCCAAGGUGAGGGUCUCCCAGACUUGAAGCAGUGGUGGGGGAGGAAAUCCCAGCUUGGAUAACAUGUCAAAAAUAAUAAUCUUGUUAUUUAAAGCGGGGACACAGGGAGAAUCCUGUAAAAGCACUGAUGACAUUGCCAUUAAUGCCAAGAGAGUUCAGCGUGACUGAUGGCGCCAAUAAACAGCCAGCGAAUCAGAAGUGAUCGAUGAGUCUUCUCUUGAAAGCGUGGCCAAAAACUGCCUCGGCCAGCAUCCUUGCAUUUUCCACCGGUGAAAAAUGCACGUUUGAAUAACGUCAGCUGUAUUAAAUGAUCACCCUUCUGCCCAGAUAUGUGCAAAUCAAUCAGCUAAUACCUGCCCAAGGUGUGAAGUCUAGAUCUGGGGACGUGUUAUAUAUGUGUGUCUGUGCACAAGCUUCCCUGUGCUGUCACCCUCUGCUCUGCAAGAAUGGAAAUAACCACACCCUCACUUGGUUCACCCAACACUUGGUCGAUUGCACCAUACAACCACGGCUGCCUCGGGAGAUGAUCUAUCUUCCUUGUUGUUUAGUUGGGGAGAAUAGCCAGCAAAUGCGAUGUAGUGGACCUAGCAGCGGACUAGGAAUCAGAAGAUUUCAGCUCUUGCCCAGCCCUUCCACCAACCAAGCUGUGGGACCACAGAUAAGUCAAUUUCCCUCUCUGGGCUCCCUUUUUCUCCCUUGUAAAAAUGAAGGUUUCAACUAGGUCCAGGGUUUGUAUGUACCAUGGAUCCCUUUGGCAGUUUGGUGAGGCUUCUGGACCCCUUCGCAGAAUAAUGUUUAAAAGUGCAAAAAAUAAAACUGAAUUUGCAAGGGAAACCAAUUAUCAUAAAGUUAUCAACAUACUGAGAAAACCACAUUAUAUAGCAACAUAUAGGCUUAUUCAUAAAUGCAACGAAGAAGAACCAGCAGUGGGCUUAACAACUGUAAUUUCAAAGUAGUUAUAAAUAUAAACAAUAUUUUAGGAUAUCUGCAACAACUAUAAUUUGAUGUGAAAAUAUUUGUGACUUUUAUUGGUAAUAAUGUCACAGGUGCUGCCAGUGCAUCCAUGGUUUAUUGCCCACAUUUGUAAUGUAGGAAGGAAAUGUCACAUUUCAGUUAGAGGUUUGCGAAAAUAAAAAUGGGAAAAAAACCCACUUUUUUCCCUUUCUACUUUCCUCUAGUUUUAUCCACAAACCCUAUUGGGAGCUGAGUGAUCCCUCACCCUUAAAUUCAUUAUGUUGAAGUCUUAACUCCCGGGACCUCAGAAUAGGGCUAUAUUUGGAAAUUUGGUCCGUCUAGUCAAGGCUAUGGUUUUUCCUGUGGUUAUGUAUGGAUGUGAGAGUUGG